CAGGGAUCAGGAAACUAACGUAUUAUUUUUGGUCAACCUGAAAGUGAAACUGGAAAAGGUUUGUCCCUACUCAAAAGGAAGCUACAAGGCAAUCAUUUUUCAGAUGGCAUGGCACGUGAGAGAGGCAGCUCUUCCUCGGAAGCCCACUCCGCUCUCCAAACAAAGUGGGCCUCCAGCCUGAGAGCACCAUCAGCCUUAUCAGGAGUGAGGGAGGAGUAGGAGGGUCAAGAAAGGUAGACGAAGCUCCACAGAGAGGAAAGAUGGAGAGGUGUUGUCGACAAGCCUUCCAAACAAACACCAGCCCCCGCAGUCAGACGCCACGGCCUCUGGCUCCUUCUGUCUCCCUUCUCCCCACAUCCUCUUUCACUCUGUCUUUCUUCCUCAUUCUUUCCAUUCAUUCUGUUUAACAUCUUUCUCUAAACUAUUUCACUUUGAAUAUCUCUCUCCAGUUUGACACAUCUCACUCUGCCUCUCUAUAGCAGCUGUAGCUAUAAUAACAUUUCACCCAUCCAUCAGGCACAGCUUUGAUCAAUAAGCACUUUGAGUCCACUCCAGAGCAUCGCACUGAACUUAAAAUGUCUCCCCUCUGUCUCUGUCAGUACUUAUCUCUCUGCUGACAAAGCUUUAUGAGACUCAGGGGUGGAUGACUAUUACAAUAGAUUUCACAAUGCAUUUCGGCCCUGUGCUGUGUAUAAUGUAAAUGAAAUACAGAGGUGAUCUAUGGCAACUGCCUAUGUUCUUUACAAUUUCCAUUCAUCCUAAACGAUUGGAAGAAGUUGUAAAUCCUGUGGCUGAAACUGCAUGACUUUAUCAGCACUAUAGUAAAUGUAUCACUGUAGAGGUAUUUAAGGCGCCUUCUUCUGCCCCCUUUCUUUUUUUUUUUCAAGAUGUCAACCAUGAGGAUUAGAAACACAUGUGUCCAGAACAUGUGCCGCAGAUCAGGAGUCCAUUUUUUUUGCAUGCUGUCUGAAAUCAAAUGUGACAAUUUUAACUUUAGAUGCCUCAUAGAUGAAGUGUUUAAAGAAA